rnacentral:rRNA from 1 species
UUUUUUGCUAUUUUUCAUAAAGCGGAGGAAAAGAAACUAACAAGGAUUCCCCUAGUAACGGCGAGUGAAGCGGGAAGAGCUCAAAUUUGAAAGCUGGCACCUUCGGUGUCCGCGUUGUAAUCUCGAGAAGUGUUUUCCGUGCUGGACCAUGUACAAGUUCCUUGGAAUAGGACGUCAUAGAGGGUGAAAAUCCCGUACUUGACAUGGACGCCCAGUGCUUUGUGAUACACUCUCCACGAGUCGAGUUGUUUGGGAAUGCAGCUCAAAAUGGGUGGUAAAUUCCAUCUAAAGCUAAAUAUUGGGGAGAGACCGAUAGCGAACAAGUACCGUGAGGGAAAGAUGAAAAGCACUUUGGAAAGAGAGUUAAACAGUACGUGAAAUUGUCGAAAGGGAAGCGCUUGAAGUUAGACAUGCUUGCCGGGAUUCAGCCUUGCUUUUGCUUGGUGCAUUUCCCGGUGUGCAGGCCAGCAUCAGUUUUGUUUGCCGGAUAAGGGUGAGAGGAAUGUGGCCCCUCGGGGUGUUAUAGCCUCUCACUGGAUACGGCGGAUGGGACUGAGGACCGCAGUGUGCCUUUAUGGCGGGCCUUCGGGCACCUUCACACUUAGGAUGCUGGCGUAAUGGCUUUAAGCGACCCGUCUUGAACAACGGGACCAAAAA